GAGUCAACAACAAAACAUGGUGGUAGAUUUUUAGUAUAGUCCAACACAAACAUUUGGACAAUCACAGGCACAAGUGACUUUGGGUGAAACUAGUGAUAACUCUCUCAUAAAAUUCUGGCAUGUCUCAACUUGAACGAUCCCUCACAAUUAGGGUUGGAGAUUGUCCAUUCAAAUUGGAAUAACAACAUUAAUAACAACAACAAUAACAAUCACAUCAUUCAACAUAAUGAUCCUUCUUCCAUUCAAAUUGAUGCAAUAACUCCUAAUGUUAAUGGAUUUAACAAUUCAAUGGAGGAGAAUAUCAUGGAAAACAGUAAAUACUUUGCUGAAACAACACCUGAGAAUGAUGCAUGCAAAUGGGAUGAUAUCGAUGCUUUCCUCAAUGAAGCUUUGAAUGAAGACUUUUGAAAUUUAGAUUGAUCAACCAAUGAAAAAAAACUUUUCUUUAUGUUUAGUCCAUUUAAAAGAUCACAGUCUUUUGAUAUUUUAGUAUUAUUUUACUUAUAUCAGUAUGCAAGAUAUCAUCUUAAUGUUAGUAGA